rnacentral:lncRNA from 1 species
UCGGAAACGCUUGAGGGCGCCGCCCGUCGUUGCAGCGCCGCUUCUUCUUCUACCUCACGCAACUCUUACUCCUCAUGAACAAGGACACAAGAACACACUCAACUCUCAACACACAUAAACAUCACUCAGAGAGAGAACACACACACGCAUAAACCAAGGAAGAACACAUAGCUUUGCCCGGUCACUGUCUCUUGGCUACCACACGUACUGCCCAGGCAACAACGUGCCCGGUUCUCAUGCCAUGCACCACACGACUUGAUCCACUAACCAACUAACUCACCCACUAACAAAGUCCAUGCGGCCACUCUCCUUCGUGCACGGUCACCUAGCUACCUGAAAUAUCUCUAUAGUCUACAUGACGUGACUAACAAACUAUAUGCAUGCAUUUGACUCAGCUAAUUAAACGCACUGCCUAAGACACAAAAUACUAGCUUGCAUGCACACACAUGAGCACAUCCUUAUGUGCGCACAUUACCGCAGCUACUCAUGCAUGAAUCUAAUAAACUACUUUUAGCGCUAAUAACAAGAUUAGUUCCAACCACCUCCCUAAUCUUGUUAACUUAGUUCUCUCUUGAAGCCCGUGGUCAUUGAUGUCGCCGGUGCAACACGGAGACGGCCGCCAAUGCCAUCUUGUCACGCCGAUUGUCAUCGUUGUCGUUUGCUUCGAUGAGAGCCACACCUCCUACGCCUUCAUCACGUGCGUGCCACGUGACACACUUGUUGUCGCAUAUUCGCCAUCGAUGCCGCAACUCGCCGAUGACUCGCCUUCAUCUUCGCCACCGGUGUCGCCACUCGCCGGUGACUCACCUUCAUGUUCGCGAGAGGCGCCGCAACUCGCCGGUGACUCGCCCCCAUGUUGUCGACGACGACGCACCUUGUCGAUGACCCAGACAUGGAACUCCUCAUGGAAAUGGCCUUCGCUCCAUGGCCAUCACCGCCUUGCCGCCGGUGACGCAACUUAUCGGGCAACAUACAUAUCUCCAUCACCGUGACGCCGCUCGACGAUGAUGAAGACACACACCAGCAGUUAGCAACAUCACGCCGCCAACGACGUCCACCUUGCGCCGUCGACGUCCCCCUCAUAUGGAGUCCGCCACGCAGCCACACUGUCAUGCACCUCCAUAGGCCGACACACGACCCGGAGCUUCGCGCGGCCGCCGACGAACGCCGCCAUUGCCGGCACAACUCCGGCAUGGUGAACCACGCCCAAAACAACCAAGCUCAUGAUACCAAAUGAGGGCGCCGCCCGUCGUCGCAGCGCCGCUUCUUCUUCUACCUCACGCAACUCUUACUCCUCAUGAACAAAGACACAAGAACGCACACACGCACUCAACUCUCAACACACAAGAACACACAUAAACAUGACUCAGAGAGAGAACACACACACGCAUAGACCAAGGAAGAACACAUAGCUUUGCCCGGUCACUGUCCCUUGGCUACCACGAAUACUACAUUUUUGCUCAGCCCUCUCGGCAUCUUCUCCAUUAUUCACUUGUUCAACUUAAAUAACCAUGUACAGAGACCCACACGUAUUGCCUAGGCAACAACGUGCCCG